CCUACGGGUGGCAGCAGUAGGGAAUCUUCCGCAAUGGGCGCAAGCCUGAUGGAGCAACGCCGCGUGAGUGAAGAAGGUUUUCGGAUCGUAAAACUCUGUUUUUAGGGAAGAACAUACGUGUAAGUAACUAUUCACGCCUUGACGGUAUCCAACCAGAAAGUCACGGCUAACUACGUGCCAGCAGCCGCGGUAAUACGUAGGUGGCAAGCGUUAUCCGGAUUUAUUGGGCGUAAAGCGAGCGCAGGCGGUUGUUUAGGUCUGAUGUGAAAGCCUGCGGCUUAACCGAGGAAGUGCAUCGGAAACUGGGCGACUUGAGUGCAGAAGAGGAAAGUGGAACUCCAUGUGUAGCGGUGGAAUGCGUAGAGAUAUGGAAGAACACCAGUGGCGAAGGCGGCUGUCUGGUCUGCAACUGACGCUGAGGCUCGAAAGCAUGGGGAGCGAACAGGAUUAGAUACCCUUGUAGUC
rnacentral:rRNA from 1 species